ACCAGCUUACUGAAUCCAAUCAAACUUCGAAUGCCAGUGACUCAUAUCCCGGGAGUCAGACAGUGGGGGCUAAGCUUCAUUGUCGAGAGGGAAACAGCCCAGACUACCGGCUAAGGUCCCCAAAUCUGUGCUAAGUGGGAAACGUUGUAGGAAGGCCCAAACAGCUAGGAGGUUGGCUUAGAAGCAGCCAUCCUUUAAAGAAAGCGUAACAGCUCACUAGUCGAGUCGGCCUGCGCGGAAGAUGUAACGGGGCUAAAUAAUACACCGAAGCUGCGGGUGCACAACGGCUUGUCCGUUUGUGCACGGUAGGGGAGCGUUCUGUAUGCCACUGAAGGUAAAUCGAGAGGUUUAUUGGAGGUAUCAGAAGUGAGAAUGCUGACAUAAGUAACGAUAAGAGAGGUGAAAAACCUCUCCGCCGAAAACCCAAGGUUUCCUGUCCAACGUUAAUCGGGACAGGGUGAGUCGACCCCUAAGGCGAGGGCGAAAGCCGUAGUCGAUGGGAAAUAGGUUAAUAUUCCUAUACUUCUUGUUACUGCGAUGGAGUGACGGAGAAGGCUAGGCCAGCACAGCGACGGUUGUUCUGUGUUUAAGGUUGUAGGUUGGAGAUUUAGGUAAAUCCGGAUCUUUAAGACCGAGAACUGAUGACGAUUAUCUCUUCGGAGAUAAGAAGUGGUUGAUGCCAUGCUUCCAGGAAAAACUUCUAAGCUAUAGGUAGCAAGGAAUCGUACCGCAAACCGACACAGGUGGGUAGGUAGAGAAUACUAAGGCGCUUGAGAGAACUCUGGUGAAGGAACUAGGCAAAAUGGUACCGUAACUUCGGGAGAAGGUACGCCCUCAUUACGUGAAGAGACUUGCUCUCUGAGCGGAAGAGGGUCGAAGAUACCAGUUAGCUGCGACUGUUUACUAAAAACAUAGCACUCUGCAAACAUGAAAGUGGACGUAUAGGGUGUGACGCCUGCCCGGUGCCGGAAGGUUAAUUGAUCGGGUUAGCCCUUUUGGGCGAAGCUCGUGAUCGAAGCCCCGGUGAACGGCGGCCGUAACUAUAACGGUCCUAAGGUAGCGAAAUUCCUUGUCGGGUAAGUUCCGACCUGCACGAAUGGCGUAACGAUGGCCACACUGUCUCCACCA
rnacentral:rRNA from 1 species